rnacentral:rRNA from 1 species
ACUCUUCCCCAAAAACAAAAACCAGAGUAGUAUAAACCCAAAAUCGAAACUUAAAGAACUUGGCGGUUUUCUAAACCUUUUUGGAGGAGCUUGUCAUCCAAUUGAUACCCCACAAGAAACCUCACCAGUUUUAGAAACAGCCUGUAUACCAUCGUCGCCAGCUUACCUUAAAGAACGUAAGCAAAAAGAAAAACUCCAAACGCCAGAUCAAGGUGCAGCCAAUAAACUGGGGAUAGAUGAGCUACCCUACUUAAAAACAGAGGAAUUUACCCUGAAAAAACAAAAGAAAAAGGAUUCAACAGUAAUUUUUUAAAGAAAUACAAAAUGAAACAAGCUCUAGAAUGCGU